UAAGGAAUAUUGGUCAAUGGGCGGAAGCCUGAACCAGCCACGCCGCGUGCAGGAUGAAGGUCCUCUGGAUUGUAAACUGCUUUUAUCAGGGGCUAAGAAAGGGCUAUACGCCCUCGUGCAGGUACCUGAGGAAUAAGCCACGGCUAACUACGUGCCAGCAGCCGCGGUAAUACGUAGGUGGCAAGCGUUGUCCGGAUUUAUUGGGUUUAAAGGGUGCGUAGGCGGUUUGAUAAGUCAGUCGUUAAAGCCAUCAGCUUAACUGAUGCAAGGCGAUUGAUACUGUUAGACUUGAAUUCUUUGGAGGUAGCCGGAAUGCGUAGUGUAGCGGUGAAAUGCUCAGAUAUUACGCAGAACACCGAUUGCGGAGGCAGGUUGCUACAAAGAGAUUGACGCUGAGGCA
rnacentral:rRNA from 1 species